rnacentral:rRNA from 1 species
GGUUAAGCGACUAAGCGUACACGGUGGAUGCCCUGGCAGUCAGAGGCGAUGAAGGGCGUGCUAAUCUGCGAUAAGCGCCGGUAAGGUGAUAUGAACCGUUAUAACCGGCGAUACCCGAAUGGGGAAACCCAGUGUGAUUCGUCACACUAUCAUUAACUGAAUCCAUAGGUUAAUGAGGCGAACCGGGGGAACUGAAACAUCUAAGUACCCCGAGGAAAAGAAAUCAACCGAGAUUCCCCCAGUAGCGGCGAGCGAACGGGGAGGAGCCCAGAGCCUGAAUCAGCAUGUGUGUUAGUGGAAGCGUCUGGAAAGGCGCGCGAUACAGGGUGACAGCCCCGUACACAAAAGCGCAUAUGCUGUGAGCUCGAUGAGUAGGGCGGGACACGUGGUAUCCUGUCUGAAUAUGGGGGGACCAUCCUCCAAGGCUAAAUACUCCUGACUGACCGAUAGUGAACCAGUACCGUGAGGGAAAGGCGAAAAGAACCCCGGCGAGGGGAGUGAAAAAGAACCUGAAACCGUGUACGUACAAGCAGUGGGAGCACAGGUUUACCUGUGUGACUGCGUACCUUUUGUAUAAUGGGUCAGCGACUUAUAUUCUGUAGCAAGGUUAACCGAAUAGGGGAGCCG